GUCUGAGCCUGUUAAUGUGCAGUUUAGGUAGUCCCCUCUCCCCCUCUCUCUCCCUCUCUAAUAGGUGUGGCUUGGGAGUUGCUGGCUGCACACAGCUGAGACUAAUCUUCUUCUGGAGCAGUAUUUGAAGCCUGGCCACCUGUGUGCUCACUGCCUGAUGGUCACCGUUUGUUGGAUCCAGCUCCUGAUCUGUCUCCAGCUACCAAGCCACACCACCCACCUCCCUCAACUCAAACUGCUGCAGAGAGCUCGCCUGCCACCUCCAACUGCCACUGCUUCCAGAGACACCUUCCUUCACUGUCAGCCUGUGAACCAAAGAAUAAACUUUGCACCUUUCUCCUA